AAAAGCACAGUGAAUUUAAAAAUGAGAUUACCAAACACCUCAACGAAUUCUCUACACAAAAAAAUAUAUCACUGCAAAACCAAAGUGGUUCUGGUUGCAAAUCCAGACAAUCUAAAUUAAAUUUUAACAAUCUAAACAUUCCAGCUCUAUCGCAAAAAACAGCAGACAAGGUUAUCAUGGAUUUUAUUAUUGACACCUUCCAACCACUGUCUCUGGUUGUUGAUCCUUCAUUUGAAAAAAUAAUUAAAACUUUUUCUCCUGCGAUAAAAAUUAUUUGUCGCCAAACACUGGGCAACAGGAUAUCUACUUCCUUCUCUUAUAUGACGACAAAUCUUAUAAGAGAUUUGUCUGAAGUUUCUUAUGUUUGCACCACUGCUGAUUGUUGGGGUGGUCACCGAAGGGCUUUUAUUGGACUUACUGCACAUUGGCUGGAUCCGUAAACUCUCAAGAGAAGGUCAGUUGCUUUGGCACUGAGGAGGAUAAUUGGGUGGCAAACAUAUGAUGUUUUGGUUAACGAAAUCAUGGGUAUCCACAAGUUCUAUAAAAUUCAUAAUAAGGUGGUGAAGAUGGUGAUUGACAAUGAAAACAACUUUGUCAAGGCAUUUAAAGUUUUUGGAGAAAAUGAAGAAGAUAGUAGUGAGGAUAUGGAAUUGAUAAAUUUGGAUGACAUAUUAUCCGUUAAUGACCCAAUUAUUCCUACUAUCAGCCUACCAAAACAUCAACGUUGUUGUUGCCAUAAUCUUAACCUUAUUGCAACAACAGAUGCGGAGAUGGCAGAUAGUGAUCUCAAUUAUAAACGAAUAUCUAGAUCCACUUUUGCAAAAUGUUUUGCUUUAGUUAAUAAACAAAAUAUGUCGUCAAAAAUGGCGGAUAUUUUAUUGGAGAAAUUGGGUAGAUAUUUAAUAGCUCCCAACAAGACAAG